GGACACUUUCCAAACAGUGAAGGAGAUUUUUCCAAACUCAUCCCUAACUGAAUGUGAGCAUGAGUUGGCGUUAGGCGAACACAGUCAGUUAUUCAGUCUACCACCUGACAGUGUGUUAAAGUUAAAUUCUGUUAGUGCUGCACUAAAAGAAUUGUUAGUAAUAAGUCCAUGCAGCGAAGGAAGUGAACAAUUGUGGGACCUUAUUUGGGCUGAAAAUGGGUGUGGUACGGAAACCCAGAAAUAGCAUGUGUUCAACAUAAAACAUGAAUUAGGUACUUUUCAGUUUUUUGUCUAUCGAAAAAGUAUUUUUAAUGCUAUUAUUUUGCAUUCACAGAAUUUUAGUGGGGGAUCAAGUCAAGUCUGGAAGUGUUACAGGAUGGAAGAGUGAGCCUACAGUUGAAAAACACUGAAAGUGCAUUACCCUUAAGGUAUGAGGUAAAGUAAUAGAGUAUGCACAUUGUCUAAUGAGAAGUACCAUCUUGUGUGAAUGAAUCCUGUAUAACAGCAAUCCUUUAUAGUUCUGUCACACCUAGAAGCCUCAAAUAAUUCUGCUUCUCUUGCUAAAGAACAACUUGUCCUUUACGUUCAGAGUGUUGGGGAAACUGGGUACUUAAAUGGCCCUAAAGAUGUUUUAAUUUUGCUGCCAUUGCAGAGAUGAACAUCAUACAUGGACUCUUUAGGUCUAAUCUACCAAAAAAAAUUUUAUCCAAUAGGAAAGGAUUUUCAUGUACUGGGAACACAACUAUCAACAAUGCAACAUUGUACAGGUGCUAGUUUAUCAUUCAAGAGCCUUAUACAAUGAUGUUAAUCUGCAAUUUGUAUGUCCUUCCCCAAGC